UGGGGAUUGAACCCAGGGGUGUUCUACCACUGAGCUGCAUUUAUUUUGAGACAGGGUUUCACUACAUUGCUGAGGCUGGCCUCAAACUCCUGAUCCUCCUGCCUCAGCCUCUCCAGUAGCUAGAUUAUAGGUGUGCUCCCCCAGCUCCUUCCCGCAUUUUCUCUUCUCUUUUAGGGGAAGCAUGUUAUUUGUCUAAUAAUAAAAAAGUUACCAGAAACCCAGACUUGUAAUUGCUCAUUCAGGUGGAGGUCAGUUCAGGGCAGCUAGAAGCCAACUCUGAACACAAGGUUCCAUUUUGACAGUUCUGGGGAUGGAAGGCAGGUCUUCGUCUGCGUUAGGCAAGCACUCAGCACCCUCCAUCCUGAACACGGGGCCCUCAACCAGGAGCAGCCCAAGGGGCUCUGGGCUCUAGACUUUCCCACUCUCUCACCACACCAGUCCUGACCGGCAACCCAAGCCCUUCCUCCCUCUCUCCAUCCUCUGAACCCCACAGCAUGGCCCCACCCGCCAGAAACACAUGCCAGGCUCCUUGUGACAUGGUUCCUAUUGUUACCCAACAAUCCCAUUUCACCUUGAGCAAGGAUGACAUGCACAUUGUGACUCAUCUCAUAUGUUCUGCCCUCUCCCUGCGGCACUGACCGUCCCUCAGCUGCCGUGGGCCACGCAGGGCCUGGUUCCGCAGCUCUUUUUCACGCGGGCAUAUCCCAUUGCCGGCAGAGACCCUCAGCCCUGGGAUGGAAACGUGUGUGAUUUCAACAGAUCCCUUUGUUCCCUGCAGCUUUAUAGAAGUCAGGCUUUGUUUCUAGACGACGGGGAUCAUAUUGUUUAUUUUUACGUCGAUGAUUUUCUCCCUAAUGAAAGCAUAAGAUUUUGUAGGCGGGGUCCCUUUGUGCAGUUGGUCAGCAUUUAAUGAGUGUCAAUGGCGGGCCAGUCUGUGUGUUGGUUGCUGGGGUCAGGAGGAAAUAGGGACAAACCCUGGUCCCUUCCAACGUGUUAGAGUUUAAUAGCAAGAAAGACAUGCUUUUAAGUAAAUGGAGAAGUGCUCUGAUAGCUCUGUGUUCAGGAUAGAGAAGGGAGUGGUUGGUUGGGACAGAAAAGUCCUUUUUAUUUAUUUAGCAGUACUAGGGAUUAAACCCAGGGUGCUCUACCACCGCUACACUCUCAGUCCCUUUUGUGUUUUGAGACAGGGUCUUGCCACGUUGCAGAGGGUCUCACUAAAUUGCUGAGGCUGGUGUCCAUCUAUCUUCCUGCGUGAGUCAAGUCGUUGGAUUGUAGGUGUGCACCACUGCACCCCACUAAAAUUUUUUUUUUUUAAAACCUGGUACAGAGAAGCACGCCUGUAACUCUAACUACUUGGGAAGCUGAGGCAGAAGGAUUGCAAGUUCAAAAUAUAUAUAUUUUUUUGAUACCAGAUGUUAAACCUAAGGACACUCCAUCACUGAGCCACAUCCCCAGCCCUUUUUUAUGUUUUAUUUUGAGAUAGGGUCUUGCUAAGUUUCUAGAGCCUCGCUAAAUGGCUGAGGCUGGCUUUGAACUUGUGAUUCUCCUGCCUCCACCUCUCAGACUGCUGGGAUUGUAGGCAUGUGCUACUGUGAAUUUAAGUGCUCUUUUCUCCCAUGUCCUGGACUGACUUUGGAGAUGUCCCCGUCUCUGAACCACUCUGGCAGGAUGGUCUCAGCCAGUUGUUACCUGUGCAUGGGCUGCUAAGUUAUUGCAAGAAGUCCCUGUGUCUAUUUGCACACCAAAUACCGUCUGCCGCCUGUGUAAGUAAUGUCUGGAGGAGGAGGGCUGCUCCUUUUCAGCCGUGCUAAAGCCCUUGUUUUUCAUCACUCUGAAUUUUCCCAGUUGACCAAAUCCUAAAAUAACUGCUCUGCUCAUUUGCAGGAUUGCGAC
rnacentral:lncRNA from 1 species